UCGGACGGGUGAGUAACGCGUGAGAAUCUACCCUUAGGAUGGGGACAACAGUUGGAAACGACUGCUAAUACCCGAUGUGCCGAGAGGUAAAACUUAUAUGGCCUGAGGAAGAGCUCGCGUCUGAUUAGCUAGUUGGUAGUGUAAGGGACUACCAAGGCGACGAUCAGUAGCUGGUCUGAGAGGAUGAUCAGCCACACUGGGACUGAGACACGGCCCAGACUCCUACGGGAGGCAGCAGUGGGGAAUUUUCCGCAAUGGGCGAAAGCCUGACGGAGCAAGACCGCGUGAGGGAGGAAGGCCUACUGGUUGUAAACCUCUUUUGAUAGGGAAGAACACAAUGACGGUACCUAUCGAAUCAGCCUCGGCUAACUCCGUGCCAGCAGCCGCGGUAAUACGGAGGAGGCAAGCGUUAUCCGGAAUUAUUGGGCGUAAAGCGUCCGUAGGUGGUUAUCCAAGUCAGUUGUUAAAGCGUAGAGCUUAACUCUAUAAGGGCAAUUGAAACUGGGUGGCUAGAGUGCGAUAGGGGCAAGGGGAAUUCCCAGUGUAGCGGUGAAAUGCGUAGAUAUUGGGAAGAACAUCGGUGGCGAAGGCGCCUUGCUGGGUCUGCACUGACACUGAGGGACGAAAGCUAGGGGAGCGAAAGGGAUUAGAUACCCCUGUAGUC
rnacentral:rRNA from 1 species